UGGGAAUUUUGGACAAUGGGCGCAAGCCUGAUCCAGCCAUGCCGCGUGCGGGAAGAAGGCCUUCGGGUUGUAAACCGCUUUUGUCAGGGAAGAAAUCUUCUGAGUUAAUACCUCGGGAGGAUGACGGUACCUGAAGAAUAAGCACCGGCUAACUACGUGCCAGCAGCCGCGGUAAUACGUAGGGUGCAAGCGUUAAUCGGAAUUACUGGGCGUAAAGCGUGCGCAGGCGGUUUUGUAAGACAGAGGUGAAAUCCCCGGGCUCAACCUGGGAACUGCCUUUGUGACUGCAAGGCUUGAGUGCGGCAGAGGGGGAUGGAAUUCCGCGUGUAGCAGUGAAAUGCGUAGAUAUGCGGAGGAACACCGAUGGCGAAGGCAAUCCCCUGGGCCUGCACUGACGCUCAUGCACGGAAGCGUGGGGAGCAAAACAGGAUUAGAUACCCUGGUAGUCCACGCCCUAAACGAUGUCAACUGGUUGUUGGGAAGGUUCCUUCUCAGUAACGUAGCUAACGCGUGAAGUUGACCGCCUGGGGAGUACGGCCGCAAGGUUGAAAACUCAAA
rnacentral:rRNA from 1 species